CCCGCAAGCGCUGGCCACGCCCCCAACAUGGCCCGGGCCAGGGGCGCGCAGGUACUGGUGCCUAGUGAGGACGUCUCCGUCUCCGGCCCCGCAGGCGUGGGUGGAAUUUGUGGCGUGGCAGAGCCGUGGGCCAGUGACGGUGGAGCCCGUGGCCUGGCGGUGGGAGGAUAAAGCCGCGUGAAUUACAGCCGUCACCCCUUCCCACUCCAAACCCGCCUGGCAGCGUCUCCAGGGAACGUGCCUGUGACCUCGGUGUCUCUGCAG